AUUUACUUUAAAUUUAAAGAAUUUGGCGGUAAUUUAGUCUAGUCAGAGGAACCUGUUUAUUGAUUGAUAAACCUCGUAAUAUCUUACUUGUUUUUAAUAAAAGUUUGUAUACCAUCAUUAUCAGAUAAUUUUAUUAGAGAAUAAAUUAUUAAAAUUAAUAUUAUUAUAAAAAUUAGAUCAAGGUGCAGCUAAUAAAUAAGUUAAAAUGGGUUACAAUAAAAUUUAUUUAAGACGGAUUAGUAAUUGAAAGGUAACUAUAAAGGAGGAUUUGAUUGUAAUAUGAAUUUAAUAAGUUUGUAAGAUAUGAGCUCUAAAUUAUGUACACAUCGCC
rnacentral:rRNA from 1 species